ensembl:lncRNA
UUAAGGAGUGGGUGCUGGCAGUAGUACUGAUUAACUGAGUGCUUGAAAUAAUUCAGCGAAGGGAUCUGGAUUUCAUUCAUUGCUUUAUUAGGCAUUGCAUUGCAUGUUGGUCAGGUCUUCUGUCAGCAAACAGAAGGAGACAACACAGAUAACUUCCAAACACACUGAUGUUUAUUCAGAGAAUUUGGGAGAGGAGCAAGCAAUGAUCUUACUAGUGAAGAAACUUAGCAAGUGAGAACAUGAUGCUUAUCUUCAAAGAAUGAUGUUGACUUCCACAGGCAGGAUCACAGAUGGAUGAAGACUGAAGAGGAAAGAAGAGGGAUUGACAACAGGCAUGGAAGAGGAUGUGUCUUGGCUUCGACGGAGGAAAAAGCAAGCUGUAAGAGUUUGACUGAGACACAGCUGAAGCUGGAUACAGGCCACAAAGAGAUACACUGCAGAGCAGAACAAGAGCAACGUCAAUGACACUCUAUGCAAACCAGAACACAUCCCAUAAUAUCAGACAGCUUGACUCAAGCUUGUGCAGUAGCAGCAGCAAAACUGUAGUACCGACAUGUUUAGUAGGCAGCUCAAAGGUUACAUCCCAAUUUGCAUACUAUAUACUACAUUGUAGUAAUGUGUUCUAAACAUUAGUAAAUUAAAAACAGCAUGAUGGAUUUUGGAAAUAUGCAUCCAUUUAUGCUUUAUGAGUAAAUGAUUCACACAAACCGUGGCAUUCCUGAGGAGGAGGAGUUCAUGACUCAAGGUUUCAGUGUUAGAAAAAUGCAGUUAUUUUAAGUUAUUUUAAACGCAUGAAUGUAAAACAUUAAGUAAUUAUGGAUUAAUUAGGUCUUUUAUUACGUUUAUUACAAAUAUUUGAUGCAGUUUUUUGAAUCAUUUUCCAAAAUAACACUAAUGUUGAAAAGGUUUGGAUUCACAUAAACAUUUUUAUGAUUAAAAAAAAAAAAAAAUGAUUCCAUUUAUUAGAGUAGGUAUUUAUGUAUGUUUUAAAAAACAUUUUUAUUGGUCAUGACUUCUUUCAAAAACUAUAAAAACUCUUACCGACCCCAAACUUUCAUACAGUAGUUGUUGCUCGCUCUAAUCUCCAUGAAAAACUGCAUGCUUCCAGUGUGCAGGAAGCCGUUAGUCUUGAGGCCAUAAAUUAAAUUAAUAUCUUGUAGAAGUAUGUAAAUUGGGAUCCAGCCAAAAACUUAGAUCCAGAACAAUGCACAUUCUUUCAUCCCAUGAAAGUAACAGCAGAGACUGUGAUAUAUGAAAGUUUUCAGGACACUUUUUUUUUCUGUUUAUGUGGAGUAUUCAUGCAGUAUCCGUGAGAAGUGAGCUGUGCUGAGCCUUGAUCUUGCUGUAUUGUCGUGUUUCUCUUCCAGAUGCAGAGGAAUGUGUUUGAGGAGAUGAAGUACAUAGAACUGAGGGUUGUCACUGACCACAGCGUGGUGUGUUUAAAUGCUGUUUGAAUAUAAUACCCCUUUAUGUGAAAGUAUCUUCGGCCUUCUGAUUUUCUUUGUGAAAAAGACGUACACUUUGGCAUACUUUUAAAAAGAACGCCUAUGAAAAUAAUGUACUUUGUUCGAAUUAAAUAUUGUGUAUUGUAAUGUUUUUGGACACUUAAUUGCAUGUUAAUUGCUAUUAAAUGAAAAUGUAUUAUAGUUUAUAUUUACUGAACGCUUACACUUUACUGUAAAGUGCUUAAUAAGUAAUUUUUUGUGAAAUAUGGUUAAAGUACUUCUAAAUGUACUGUGAAGCAUUUAUGAUAAACUAAAAUAUAAAAUAGCUAAAAUAUACUUCAAUGCCAUUUCUACUAAAACUUGUGUGUCAUGUAUUUAACUAUAUACAUUUGUAAUAAUGGAGCUGCAGUUUAGUAGCCUACAUUUUAAAUAUAUUGAAUAACACGCUGCAGUUAAAAUUAUAAUCCAGUACUUUACAUCUCAUCUGGUUUAGGAUGUUAGUCAACACAAGAAAAUAAGUGUAGCUUACUUUUUAAAAGCGUAUUAAGAAACAUGGUCAUAAAAUUGGACUCUCUUUAGGUACAUGUGGGGCCUAAUAUAUUAUCUGCAAGUACAGUUUUAACAAAUAUACUUUUAAUAUUUGAAGUACCCUACAAGUGCACAUUCAAUACAAUUAAGCACACUUCACAAGGGUUUAGUGGUAGAGUUGUGUUUGAGGAUAGGUGUGGGACUAUUGUUUGAUAAGAAUGUUUAUCCAGUCUUGACUCAAUCUAUGUUUAUCAUCUCAUUAGUGCAGUUCCUGCAUCAUAAAAUGCUUUGGGAAUGCCUUCAGCGUGACCGGCUCUGAAUCAUGUGUGUAAUCAGACCAAUGGAUGGGCGAGAUGUCAUAGGCGGGUGACGUCAGAGACCAGAGUGCUUAAAAGCACGUGCGGCCAUGCUGGCAUUUAGCCUUGUGUCUUUCAGCAAGCGCUCUGUGUGUGUGUCAGUUGCUAUCUGUUUGUGAGUCUUAUUUAGUGUUGUUUGUCCAAAGCUUCAGUCAAGAGAAGUUUUGGGUGAUAGCAGGCAGUGUUCAGACUGUGUGUUUUCCCUGCCCGCAAAAAACAAAACAAAAAAAGGGGGUAGGGACACACGCAGUUUGUGUGUUGUCUGCUUUGAGAGGAGCUGAUGGCUGCGAUGUGAGCGUUUGUUACAGCUUUGCUUCACUCUCAGAAGGCUCUCUUUGAGGAGGGAGCCUUCACUGGCGUUUCUUGCGUGCCAGCCCCGCUUUCGCCGAGGCGGAGUGGUGGUUGUGGUUGGGGGUUUUGCUUUCGGAUCUGGUGGAAAAGGGAUGUAGAUGGGCAAGUCCCUAUCUUCGGGCGUUAAUAAGCUCGCCAGCUGUACAAGCAUCAGUUACACAAGCAUACUAUGCCUGAUAUUAUAAUGAGCAGCUUUAAUGAGGAGUGGAGCUCACGCAGUCAGCUCUCGGGGGGCUGAUUGUGCUUUUCUCGCAGUUAAGUGCUCCGCUCUCGCCGGGCAUGCUCCAAGGAGUGUGUCCGUGCAUGCGAUCUUGCAGUUGUGGUCCCUCUGCUGCUGAGGCAUGGCGGCGACUGAGAUCACGGAUCGCACAUGAUCUGGCGGACGGGUUGGAGACGGCACGUCCUGUCUCCACCCGUGUUUCUUGCUGCGGUUUCUUCCCCCUCUGAGUGAGAGCUCGCUGCAGCGUUCAUCUUCCUCUGAGGAGAUUGAUUUUUUUUGUGUGACUGAGUGGAAAAAAAAAAAAAAAACUUGCGCGCUGCCGAGGCAGAGUGUUUACUCGUCUGGUUGUUGACUACAUUUAAUUCUGAGGAAUAAAAUGAAAUAUUU